GCGAGUUACAAAGUUUGAGCUGCUUGUGAUGAUCCAUGAUGUUUCUAUUGAGUCCCUGGUUCAUUCUUUUCUUCUCAGGUGAUGCAAGUGGAGAAGAAAUAACUCCCCUCUCCCCAUCUGAGCUUGGUAUCAAUGGUCACUCCAUUACUUUGGCCUGCAAUUAUGAUGGGUCUUACGCCAGUGAUUCUCUCCUGUGGUAUCGUCAAUACAGCAGCUCCAAACUAGAGUUUUUGUUUCUGGUUAGUGAAUCCGAUCUUCAGCAGCCAGCUGACCCUCCAAUACCUGGAGUGUCUGCUGAAUUAAAUAAGGAGAAGAACCGUGUGUAUCUGGAGAUCUCCUCUGCUUCAGUAUCAGACUCUGCGAUGUACUACUGUGCCCUGAAGCCCACAGUGACAGGAAACCCCAAAACACUUUUGGUUCCACAGCAGAAGGACCGUUAUGUUGCUGAAGUACAAAAGGGCAAAGAACAUAUGAUCCUGGAGAUCUCCAAAACUGAAGUGGCAGAUGCUGCAAUAUACUACUGUGCCCUGGUGCCCACAGUGACAGGAAACCCUUCAACACUGUACAAAAACCUGACAUGA